rnacentral:lncRNA from 1 species
UUUUUUUUUUUUUUUUAAGCCCUCAUUGUAACAUUAAAUUCUGCCCCUUCUCUCCACUUCCCUUUGCCUCACCCCACCCCCAUCCCACUUAUCAGGAUGAAGGAGCAGCAUGCUGCUUUGCUUUGCAUAUGUCAGAGUAGAUGGGAUACAAGGAUGAUUUCAGUUUCUGCAGAGGUUCCCAUUUCUUGUUGUAACAUCAUGGUUUGUGAAUAAUGACACUGCCCAGGCCACAGGUUACCCAGCCGACUGAUCACAGACUUAGAACAACCGGACUUGAAUCACGCCUGCAGUCUUGCCCUCACCUGAGCCAUGCCUGUGUUCACGGAGGGCUGAGGUAUGUGUUUGUGAAAUGGCUGGGGUUCAAGGAAAGGAAGCAUUAAGCUUCGUAGUUGCAGGGCUCUUGCUUAGAUUCUUUGAGAGUGUAGACACAUAGAAACAGAUAGCUGGACUGGGAUUAGCUCUGAAAAGCUAUCUUUAGUUGGAGGGCGGGCUCAGAACUGAGGUCUUUGACCUUGCCUUACAUGGUUCUUGCCCUUACAUCAGCUUGACUUGGUUUCCUUUUAAAACCCACUUUCCUGAGGGGUCACUCCAUGUUUACAGAACCAGCACCCCCCCCCCCCAACCUCUCUCAGAGAGUGUUGGAAUCCUCCACUCUUCUCCCCUCUAACAGCUCAGCCUAGUCCAGGCCAAUUCAAGGGAACUUUCUUCAGUAUCUACUCUGUGCAAGGCGCUGCCAGACUCUGUGAAUGGCACCAAGAUGGACAGCCAAAUCACCAAGACUUCUCAUUCUUGGAUUAUAUCUUUUAAGAAAUCCGUGCCCAGAUGCUGUCUCCCUGCAUGUUCAGUUACUCACUGGUAUGUUGAUAGCCACUUAUCUGAGCCUGGCCCUGGGAUCCACACUGCAUAGAGAGCCAUGAGUGGAACAGACAUGGCACCCUGGUUUUAGGGCAUUCUCUUUUGCCUAAGUGUCUGUGAUAGCCUCUUUUGCAUGCUUGGCCACUUCCCUGAUCUAUUCCCCACAUCACCACUAAGUAUUUCUGAAAAGCUGAGAGGAUGCUGCAUUGCUUCAGGAUGAGGUUUCCCUUAGUGCCUGCUGUUCUCACCUCUUUACCCACCCUGUUGCUCCUCAAGAGCCUCCAGUGCAGCGAGGCUGGUCCAUUUGCUGUUGCCUAAACACGUCUCACAUACCCCCGUUGGAGCCUCUGUUCCUGCCAGCCCCUCUCCACGGGCCCACAUCAGAGACACCUAACAAGUUCUGCACAAAGAGGUCUCAGCUCAUUAUCAUCUCCCCUUCCUCUAGAAACACAGCAUGGGAAAGGGGUGCCCAGAAAUUGGGCCAAUUCCUGAAAAGUAAUGGUUUUUAAUUUUGGUGUUUGCACUGAUAAUCCAAUUCAAAUCCUAUGCCCCAGUCCCAGAAGAAUACAGACAUGCAAAUAUGUGAAAUUUUACAUGUAAGUUCAGGAGACUUAGAGACAUUCUGAAGUGAUCCAUGGAUUCCUUGAGGGGUUCAUGGACUGCAGUUGAAGAAAGCCUUCUUCUAAAGGGUUUUCACAAGUUCCUGUUGUUGGUGUUCUUUCUUGCCUUUACCACAGCCACAGGGGAGACUAAUUGCAAGCCAAAGGAAUCUCUGUUGUUAUCCAGUGGAGAAUGUGCUGAGUGACAGGGCAGGAAGAAGAGGUGUCAUAUUAAUUGAGAACUUAUCUUUGUUUUGACAAGUGUGUCAUUUUUUGCAAGAGAUAGGGUUUUGUUGUCAUCGUCAUUGUUGUCAUCUACCUUCUAACACUCCAAAAGGUUGAUUUCAAAAAAAAAAAAAUAUGAGUUUAGGACCAGGGGAGCUUCUGCAUGGAUAGGCUGACCAACUUGGGGCUUAAGAUGAGAGAGAAGAGGCAGGAUUUUUCCCUACAGGAGAAAAUUCUGCACAAUCAGGUUUUUCUGCAUUAGUUAAUUAAUUACUUCCUAGAACAAUUGUUGAGUAUAUUUUCAGUGAAAGGAUGGUGCCUUUGUUGAUAGAGAACUACUCAGGUUCUUCUUUCUCCUCCCCCUCCUCCUUCUUCCUCCUCCCUCCUCCCUCUCUUCCUUCUCCUCCUCUUCCUCCUCCUCUUCUUCUCCUUCUUCCUCCUCUUCCCUCUCCCUUUCCUUCUUCUUCUUCCUCUUCCUCUCCUUCUCCUUCUUCUUUUCUUUUCUUUUAUAGGGCGAAGCACUUUUGUUGCUCCUGGCUAUGCCCCAUACCCUUUGUUCUCCUUUAUGUGCAGUUCUGUUUAAGAUUAACAAGGGCUGAUGAAAGUACAUCCGGUGACAAAUACUUCUUGAGUCUAAAUGCUGAUCUCCAGCAACCCAACUUGAGCAGGUCCAGGAUCAAUUGCCUGUGGCCGUGGAGUGCUUGACCUUUUUCCACUUGCUUUUGGUGGUCUGGAUGCCACUUUUGAGGUUCCAAAGGAUUCCCUUGGUGGGGAAUCCCUCUUGCCUGCAGAACACUUGCUAGUGCCAGGACUAAAUGCAAACAUGGGCCUUUCCUCAUCUAAUUUCCUUUCUAGAAAUUUAGGCUUUUAGUCACUGACUUUAAAGAAUAUCUUAAAGAUAUUUGAAGUUCUUUAACCUUUAAGACAACUGGAACCAGCAACAUAUUGGCCUUGCCCCUUGGAGAAGGUUACAAAGAAUACUGACAAAUAGCAUAAAAGAAAGCCACUCACUGUUUUGGGGCUGACAAUGUGACCUCCCCAACCAUUCUGGCUCUCAUCAAAGCAGGGAACUCAUCCCCAGACCAAAACUCUCUGAAACUUAUGCUCAUGGCUAGAUCAUUAGGAUGCUCAAAUUGCAAGAGGAUUAUUGCCCCUAACUGUCAAAUUUGUAGGCAAAUAAGGGGGACGGUUGCAAUAAUCAAACAGUGGCUUUUGGAUGUGGUCCAACCAGCACCAACACUCCUGAUCAUAUCUGUGGGGAAACAAGUUAUCUAGAGCAAAAGAUUGGUACAGUACCUUGGUGUUCCAUUCACAGUGAAAUAAUUUCAGCAAUGAACUUGAUGGCCUUCUUGAAGAUUUUUCAAUUGCUGUUAUCCUUAAUUACAGCUUUAAAGAUUUUGAGACAAUUCACUAACUAUAGAGCAAUAUAUAUUUACGAUGAUAUUUCACUUUGUGAAAAGUAGUCUAAAUAUGACUAAUUCAGCUCCCACUCUCACUGGCAAGCAUCCCCCCCUCCCUGGUUUUUUCUUUUUUUUUUCUUUUGGCUCUAGAAUAGAGUGCUUUCUAUUUAUUAGUAAAGUUGAAACCUUUUUUCUUCUUUAGUAUUAAAAAAAUUACCCCAUGGCUUUGAAAACAAUAGAAUUCAGUGCCUGAAUUGCCAAGUUAACCAGUAGUGGCUACAUAGAUAGCAGCAGGAAUGUAAUAUAAUUGGAGGCUGGAAAAGAGUAAUUCUUGGGGUACUUGCUACCCCUCUCUUCUUAAAAAAACAGCAAUCCUUGGACUUUUUAAUAGUUGUUUGCAGUUGGAAACAUUCUCUCAUGUUUGCUUCUCUCCCCCAACUAGAGAUCACAUUGGACUUUAUUAAAACAUCUACCAUGUCCAAAUGAUUGUAUUUUUAUCUUCAGCAAAUUAUAUCUGAAAUCUUUUGCAGCAAUAAGACUAAAGAUGAGGCUCAAAUUUUUGGAGGGAUCUCUGCUUCAGUAGGGGCAACGUGUUUGUGUUACUUCUGUCAAAAUGGUUUUACCUCAAAUAAUCCAUUUCAUGGGAUCAUGCUUACUGUAAACAUAUGUUUUUCCCAGCACCCCGUGUCCGGCUGAGUGUCUGACAACUGCAGCGUUGAUGAGGGUGAUGGCUCCUCCAUAGUAGCGGUUGAAAAGAUGUGGGUCUGAGUACUUUAUCGGGAGGUAUUUGAAUUUCACUGAGUGGGAGGAGAGAAGGAAAGAGAACAGAUACUGGCUUCGAGCAACCAUGUGGUAUGGCUGUAUUAGAGAUGUGUCGGCACGCUGGAAAUUUUCUAGGUAGUGGCAUCUUACUAAAACAAUGCAGAUGACUACAGGUUUAAAUAAAAAACAAAGGCCAUCUGUAGGGAAGGCUUGUCUGUGAAUAUCCCAGUGGCUGGUGCAGCAAGCAUUGGAGAAAUGUUGAGCAUUGCCCUGGUUUCUGGCUUGUUCUCCUGAGCUGUCCCAUCUGAGGCUGGGCCUGGGCACAAGAGGCGUAGCCCCAGGGUGUCCACUCCUUUGAUUCUGGAACUUACUUCUGGUCUCUCAAAAACGUUUGUGGCAUAUAGUUUCCAUUUUAUAAUAUACUAUGUAAAGAAUGUAUUUGUAUAUUUGUUUUAUAGAAACUGUCAGUGUUUGGAGACACGCCAGAUCAUCCUUAUGUAGGCAAGUGGUCUCCAAACCUUUGUAAAACUUUCUCAGCAUGCCCUUCAGCGUAUUUAUUUAUAAACACAUACACACACUGCUCUAUUGAUAUGUUAUGAACGUUAAAAACCAUAGAAAACAUAGAAAUUUACAAAGAAUUUUCUCCUCGACAAUAGAGUUUAGAGAAUGGGGCAAGGAAGACUUAAAAGUUGACACCUAGAAAACUGGUUAGUUAACGAAUGUGUGUGUAACAUUGGCGGGAAAGUGGAUGUAAAAUAGGCAUGGACGCAUGAUUUUAGGUCAAGGUCAUUCAUUCAUUCAUUCUUACAAUACAUUUUUGGUUGGGGAAGAGAAGAAUGGCUAAUUAGGUAUGAUCUUUACAAGAGCUCUUUUAAAUUCUGUUUUGGGGACCACUUGAUCUAGAACGUCUUGUACAUUCCUGAACAAUUACUCAGUACCUUGACUUAGCAAAACCAGAAAAGAAAGGAAGGGAAAAGGACCUCAACAAUGCAGAUGCUGACUCUGUUGCCUGAGAAUUUCUGAAUCUGAAAGUCCUGCUAAGCAUCAUCUCACUGAUUGUGCGUCUUUCUUCUCUUUGUUUAUAAUAUCCCAUCUCUAAAUGUGUGGAAGAUGUAGAGGUGUAUUUUCCAGAUCUCUGAGAUGGGAAGGACCAAUGUUAGUGUAAUUCGAACCCACGUUUCAGCGGCUUGGGGGCUGAUGGGUGGACACUGCCUGCAAACAUUUACCUGCACCAUCUGUUUUGCAAACACAAUGAUGAGCAUCUUGCUGAACUUUGAGGGCCUCCAUGUGGAGGCGGCAUUCCCAGUGUUUAUUUCUGGACCUCUGAGUUACUUUAGCACAGUUAUUGUUCGUAGUUUAUAAAGCCAUAUCUAAACUUGUACACUUGAUUGUAAGAUAGAUUUGAAUUGUGCACUAUGUUGAUUACUGUAUAUAAAUGUGGAAAUUCUGUAUAUUUGGUCUUAAUGCUGUAUGUAUUUGAUGUGUAAAUGAUAACUAAUGGAUAUGAAAUAGCUUGCUGU